UUUGCUGACGAGUGGCGGACGGGUGAGUAAUGUCUGGGAAACUGCCUGAUGGAGGGGGAUAACUACUGGAAACGGUGGCUAAUACCGCAUAACGUCGCAAGACCAAAGAGGGGGACCUUCGGGCCUCUUGCCAUCAGAUGUGCCCAGAUGGGAUUAGCUUGUUGGUGAGGUAACGGCUCACCAAGGCGACGAUCCCUAGCUGGUCUGAGAGGAUGACCAGCCACACUGGAACUGAGACACGGUCCAGACUCCUACGGGAGGCAGCAGUGGGGAAUAUUGCACAAUGGGCGCAAGCCUGAUGCAGCCAUGCCGCGUGUAUGAAGAAGGCCUUCGGGUUGUAAAGUACUUUCAGCGGGGAGGAAGGUGUUGUGGUUAAUAACCGCAGCAAUUGACGUUACCCGCAGAAGAAGCACCGGCUAACUCCGUGCCAGCAGCCGCGGUAAUACGGAGGGUGCAAGCGUUAAUCGGAAUUACUGGGCGUAAAGCGCACGCAGGCGGUCUGUCAAGUCGGAUGUGAAAUCCCCGGGCUCAACCUGGGAACUGCAUUCGAAACUGGCAGGCUUGAGUCUUGUAGAGGGGGGUAGAAUUCCAGGUGUAGCGGUGAAAUGCGUAGAGAUCUGGAGGAAUACCGGUGGCGAAGGCGGCCCCCUGGACAAAGACUGACGCUCAGGUGCGAAAGCGUGGGGAGCAAACAGGAUUAGAUACCCUGGUAGUCCACGCCGUAAACGAUGUCUACUUGGAGGUUGUGCCCUUGAGGCGUGGCUUCCGGAGCUAACGCGUUAAGUAGACCGCCUGGGGAGUACGGCCGCAAGGUUAAAACUCAAAUGAAUUGACGGGGGCCCGCACAAGCGGUGGAGCAUGUGGUUUAAUUCGAUGCAACGCGAAGAACCUUACCUGGUCUUGACAUCCACAGAAGAAUCCAGAGAUGGAUUUGUGCCUUCGGGAACUGUGAGACAGGUGCUGCAUGGCUGUCGUCAGCUCGUGUUGUGAAAUGUUGGGUUAAGUCCCGCAACGAGCGCAACCCUUAUCCUUUGUUGCCAGCGGUUAGGCCGGGAACUCAAAGGAGACUGCCAGUGAUAAACUGGAGGAAGGUGGGGAUGACGUCAAGUCAUCAUGGCCCUUACGACCAGGGCUACACACGUGCUACAAUGGCGCAUACAAAGAGAAGCGACCUCGCGAGAGCAAGCGGACCUCAUAAAGUGCGUCGUAGUCCGGAUUGGAGUCUGCAACUCGACUCCAUGAAGUCGGAAUCGCUAGUAAUCGUGGAUCAGAAUGCCACGGUGAAUACGUUCCCGGGCCUUGUACACACCGCCCGUCACACCAUGGGAGUGGGUUGCAAAAGAAGUAGGUAGCUUAACCUUCGGGAGGGCGCUUACCACUUUGUGAUUCAUGACUGGGGUGAAGUCGUAACAAGGUAACCGUAGGGGAACCUGCGGUUGGAUCACCUCCUUACCUUAAAGAA
rnacentral:rRNA from 2 species